rnacentral:piRNA from 1 species
UGCAUGGUAUACAGAAGUUUGAUGGA